rnacentral:rRNA from 1 species
AAGGGGCGGGUCCAACUUCACGCCUUUAGCUACGUUACCAAGUCAAAUGAAGACCCAACAACUAGUUUACAUCGUUUAGGGCGUGGACUACCAGGGUAUCUAAUCCUGUUUGCUCCCCACGCUUUCGUGCAUGAGCGUCAGUAUUGGCCCAGGGGGCUGCCUUCGCCAUCGGUAUUCCUCCACAUCUCUACGCAUUUCACUGCUACACGUGGAAUUCUACCCCCCUCUGCCAUACUCUAGCCCGCCAGUCACAAAUGCAGUUCCCAGGUUAAGCCCGGGGAUUUCACAUCUGUCUUAGCGGACCGCCUGCGCACGCUUUACGCCCAGUAAUUCCGAUUAACGCUUGCACCCUACGUAUUACCGCGGCUGCUGGCACGUAGUUAGCCGGUGCUUAUUCUUCCGGUACCGUCAUCCUCCCGCCGUAUUAGGGCAGAAGUUUUCUUUCCGGACAAAAGUGCUUUACAACCCGAAGGCCUUCUUCACACACGCGGCAUUGCUGGAUCAGGCUUUCGCCCAUUGUCCAAAAUUCCCCACUGCUGCCUCCCGUAGGAGUCUGGGCCGUGUCUCAGUCCCAGUGUGGCUGGUCGUCCUCUCAGACCAGCUACAGAUCGUCGCCUUGGUAGGCCUUUACCCCACCAACUAGCUAAUCUGCCAUCGGCCGCUCCUGUAGCGGGAGGUCCUAAGAUCCCCCCCUUUCCUCCGUAGAGCGUAUGCGGUAUUAAUCCGGCUUUCGCCGGGCUAUCCCCCACUACAGGACACGUUCCGAUGUAUUACUCACCCGUUCGCCACUCGCCACCAAGGAUUGCUCCCGUGCUGCCGUUCGACUUGCAUGUGUAAGGCAUGCCGCCAGCGUUCAAUUUUGAGCAAGGGAUCAAAACUCA